GGGAGUCCGGAAGCAAAAAUAUAAAAGAAAUGAAUGGGGGCGGCCCCAAACAAGGGGUGGAUGGUUUUAAUUAAUUCGAAGCAGAAGGAAAUUCCUUACUUUUCCCUGCCAUGUAAGGAAUUAGAAAUAGAUUGGGAAGUUCUGGCAAUAGAACCCGAGUGCAGGUGGGGCAUGGCCGUCGUCAGCUGGUGUAGUGAGAUGUUGGGUUAAGUCCCGCAACGAGCGCAAUCCUUGUCAUUAGGUGGUUCGAAAGGGCACUCUAAUGAGACUGCCGGUGACAAACCGGAGGAAGGUGGGGAUGACGUCAAGUCCUCAUGGCCCUUAUGGGUAGGGCUUCACACGUCAUACAAUGGUCGGGACAGAGGGUCGCCAACCCGCGAGGGGGAGCCAAUCCCAGAAACCCGAUCGUAGUCCGGAUCGCAGUCUGCAACUCGACUGCGUGAAGUCGGAAUCGCUAGUAAUCGCGGAUCAGCAUGUCGCGGUGAAUACGUUCCCGGGUCUUGUACACACCGCCCGUCACACCAUGGGAGUGGUUUUACCAGAAGUAGUUAGCCUAACCUUAAGGUGGCGAUUACCACGGUGGGAUCAGACUGGGGUGAAGUCGUAACCAAGGUAACCGGA
rnacentral:rRNA from 1 species